GUUCCUAUGGUGUCACUUAAAAGCACACUAGAUUUUCAUUCUAGAGGCAUAAAUUUAUUUAUUGGGAAUA
rnacentral:tRNA from 1 species